rnacentral:rRNA from 1 species
GACGAACGCUGGCGGCGUGCCUAAUACAUGCAAGUCGAGCGGGCCUCCGGAGGUGCUUGCACCUCCGGAAGGCCAGCGGCGGACGGGUGAGUAACACGUGGGCAACCUGCCUUUGAGGCCGGGAUAACACCGGGAAACCGGUGCUAAUACCGGAUACGUCCUCUUUCGCGCCUGCGAGAGGGGAGAAAGACGGUCUUUAAGGCCGUGUCUCAACGAGGGGCCCGCGGCGCAUUAGCUGGUUGGUGGGGUAAGGGCCAACCAAGGCGACGAUGCGUUGCCGACCUGAGAGGGUGAUCGGCCACACUGGGACUGAGACACGGCCCAGACUCCUGCGGGAGGCAGCAGUAGGGAAUCAUCCGCAAUGGGCGAAAGCCUGACGGUGCAACGCCGCGUGAGUGAGGAAGGUUUUCGGAUCGUAAAGCUCUGUUGUGAGGGAAGAACAGCUUCCGGAGGAAAUGCCGGAGGUUUGCCGGUACCUCACCAGAAAGCCCCGGCUAACUACGUGCCAGCAGCCGCAGUAA